AUCCUUCUGGUUCUUAAAAUAUGAUGAGUGGGUCUUGCACGCGCAUGCGUGAAAUGUGCCGUCCCAGUUGUUACGACGGGGCACAUUACCCAUCUGAUU